rnacentral:tRNA from 4 species
CGCGGGGUGGAGCAGUUCGGUAGCUCGUCGGGCUCAUAACCCGAAGGUCGGGGGUUCAAAUCCCUCCCCCGCUACCA